UAAGUAAAAAGUUAUCAAUUAAACUAUUGACCUUCCAAAUCUAAUUUCAUGAACAAAAACUUGAAAAAAGAUAAUAUUUCAGUUCAGAUUGACUCUCAUGAAUCAAACUUGGCCAAUCUACUAUUACUGUUUUACUUGUGAUUAUUUGAGAUUAUUGGAGUUAUAAGAAAGAGUGGAAAAAAAAGGGAAAGAUGAUGGCCUCAACUAGGGUCUGUAGUACCAAACUGUACCGCCCGGUACGGGCGGUACGUACCGGUCCGACCGGUUGCCGGUACGCGGACCACCUGUUACCGAUCCGAGUGCACUGCAGCACUGUAGCAGUACUCGGUACACCUGAGUGUACCGCUCGGUACACCUGGGUGUACCGCUCGAUAUACCGUACCGUACCGAUACCGAGCCCAGGUCGAAAUACCGGUAUGGUACGGUAUUGCGAACCUUGGCCUCAACUUCAACUGUCCCUAACAUGCAACACUCCCCUGGCCGUGCUGUCGUGGCCCAAGCAUGAACUCACCACAAAUCCUUUUAAUACUUACAGUAGAAAAAGUUACUUGUACAAACAAAUGAUUUGCAUAACUAAAAUGAUGAAUUUCUCGUAUCUCAUUUAUAUAUAUUGUUGUUCAUGUUGCCACCAAUUCUUUUUCUUUCUCCUCUAACUAUCAAAAUGAAUGGCAAAUUAACACUGUUUAGGAUGUUGGUUUCAUGUUAAUUAGUUCUCAAAUUAGUUCUGUGCUUGUAGUUAAUCUGUGUUUGUUCUGUUCUUCCCCUUUAAUUAACUUCUGAUUUCUAUUAUGAUAUAGUUUUUGUAUAAUACAUUCUUUUUGUAAAUUAAUUUUUCUUAUACUCCUCAAAUUUGUCUGAAGAAAUGAUUUUGCGUUGUUUUAGUUGCCUCUUAACCUGCAAUGGCUUUAUUCACUCCAUCAGGUUCUGUAAUGCAGAAGGAUUUGCUGACUUCAAGUGAUCGCUCAACGAGAUGCCAUCAAGCAUCUAUCUUUUCUCAUUCAACCAGCAGUGUUGUGAACUUGCUCUUUCUCGGAGCACAUCCUGUCACCACCAAUCUACUAUGCAAACCAUCAUCUUUGACAAGACAGCACGAAUGAGGCCAUUUUUAGAUUUACCCAUGAGUGGCAGCCAGUGCUGUUUAUUUGAUUCCUAGAAGUUUUCAGCUUCAUGUGGCAACAAGUUCUAGCUUGAUGAUGUCAGUGAAUCUCAAUAGUUUGUUCCAGAUAUUUUGAUUGGAAUAUUUGAAAUAGCAAUUGAGAUGAAUAAGAUUGAGAAGAAUUCACCGAGAAGCAAUAUGCUGGAGGGGUAUCUUAUGGUAACUCUGUUUGAGCCAUCAACAUCAACCAGGCUUUCCUUUGAGAGAGCUAUAAAAACGUUAGGAGAAGUUUUGAUUACAGAAGAAGCACGUGAAUUUUCUUCAGCCACGAGGAGAAACUCUUGAAGAUAUAACUAUAGUUGAAGGUUACACAGAUAUAAUUGUUUUGAAACACUUCAAAGGUGGAGCUGCUAGAUGGCAGCUUCUACUGCCAGUAUUCUUUUUUAUAAAAGCUGGGAUGAUCAAGGACAGCAUCCAACACAGAUACCUACAUAGGUGGGAUUUAGAUCCUGCAAUUGAUGUUCUCACUAUGUGCAUCUGCCACUUGCCUUCUUAUGAACCUUUGCGGAGUGAGGUCUUGCUUAUGAGGAAAGCUCUUCAGAGAUACCGUCACAUUUUAAAUGCUGAUGAGCAUUACAGCACUUGGCAAGAGGUAGAAGAUGAUUGUAAGAAAGAUCCUGAAGGUUUAGCACUAAGAUUAGCUGGUAAAGGGGCUGUUUUUGCUGCUUUAGAAGUUGCCGAAAGUGCAUCUUUAUCUGUCGAGUUGCGUAGAGAACUGCAAGGCCGACAACUUGUUAAAUUACUCACAACAGACCCACUUAGUGGUGGAGGCCCAGCUGAGGCUUCAAGGUUUCUUUCUUCAUUGCGUGACUCAGAUGAUGCCCUACCCGUUGCUGUUGGAGCUAUGCAGUUUUUACCUGACUUGCGCUCUAAGCAGCUUCUUGUGCACUUUUUCUUAAAACGGAGAGUUGGAAACCUUUCAGACACUGAAGUUGCCCAACCUAACUUGUGGGCACUGGGUCUUCGUGUUUUAGCUUUACUGCCAUCGCCAUCCCAGCAACGAUGUUCGGCUUUGCAUGAACAUCCUCAUUUGAUUCUUGAAGUUACAUUGAUGAUGAAGCAGCUACAAUCAGCAUCAUUGAUAUUGAAAGACUUUCCAUCCUUGAGAGAUGACAAUCUAAUACUUGCAUAUGCUGCUAAAGCGAUUACUGUGAAUGUUGGUGCUGCUCAUAGGGAGACCAGGAUCUCCGUUUCAGGGUCUAGAUCAAAGCAAAAAACUAGAUCUGGCACACCAUCCAUGUCAAAUUUUGCAAGCAGUAUUGGUAACUGGCAAAGAGAGGCUCGCCGGGCUUUUUCGUGGACGAAUCGUGAUAAUGCGCCCAAGAUUCCUCCAAAGGAUGUUCAUCGAAAGAGAAAGAGUUCAGGAUUUAUGCAUUCUGAUAGAGUUGCUUGGGAAGCAAUGUCAGGUAUCCAGGAGGAGCGUGCCACAGCAUUCUCUGCUGAUGGACAAGAGAGGAUUCCAUUUGUCUGCAUUGCUGAAGAAUGGGUUCUCACUGGUGACCCAAUUAAGGAUAAUGUUGUUUGUGCUUCUCAUAGAUAUGAAACUUCUCCUGAUAUUACACUUUUCAAGGCAUUGCUUUCUUUGUGCUCUGAUGAGUUGGCCUCUGCCAGAGGUGCUCUGCAAUUAUGUAUUUCUCAGAUGAAGAAUGUGUUAUGCUCCCAACAUCUGCCUCUGAAUGCUUCUAUGGAAACUAUGAGCAAAGCAUAUCAUGCAACAGAAACUUAUGUGCAGGCGCUAGGCUAUGAAAAAAGUCUGUUGAGAAAACUGUCUGGAUCAAGUGAAUUUUCAAGCAACUACGAUAAAACUCGGGAGACAGAUGAUGCAUCUACAGACACUGCAAGCUCAAGUAGCGGAAGUCAGUAUCCUGAUGAGCUGUCUGAACUUCUCGGACAAGCAGACAUCUGGCUAGGACGUGCAGAGCUUCUUCAGAGUCUUCUUGGAUCAGGAAUAAUUGCUUCUCUUGAUGAUAUUGCUGAUAAGGAAUCUUCAGCACGUCUGCGUGACAGAUUGAUCGUCGAUGAGCAGUACAGCAUGGCUGUAUAUACAUGUAAAAAGUGCAAGAUCGAUGCUUUUCCGGUAUGGAAUGCUUGGGGCCAUGCCUUGAUUCGGAUGGAACACUAUGCUCAAGCACGUGUUAAGUUCAAGCAAGCUCUUCAACUGCAUAAAGGUGAUCCUGCAGCUGUGAUCCUCGACAUCAUUAAUACUGUGGAAGGAGGUCCUCCAGUGGAUGUUCCCUCCAUAAGAUCAAUGUAUGAACACUUGGCUAAAAGUGCACCGACAAUCUUGGAUGAUUCUCUUUCUGCUGAUGCAUACCUUAAUGUUCUGUAUAUGCCAUCGACUUUUCCACGUUCUGAAAGGUCCAGAAGAUCUCAAGAAUCUUCAAAUGGUCCAUCUUUAUAUCCUAUUGCUGAUUUUGAAGAUAGUCCUCGCAGUAACCUUGACAACAUCAGAUAUGUUGAAUGCAUUCACUAUUUACAAGAAGUUAUUAAGGGUGAUCAUGUUGCUGCUGGUCUAUGUUGUAUUCAAUUAUUCAUGAAUUCUUGCUCUCAAGACGAAGCGAUAAAGCAUUUGGAACAUGCCAAGAUUCAUUUUGACGAAGGAUUAUCAGCACGACAUAGAGCAGCGGGCGAGGCUACUAGAGUGGUUUCCAAGUCUGUUCGUGGAAAGAGUGCCUCUGAAAAACUAAGUGAAGAUGGGCUUGUAAAAUUCUCAGCCCGGGUAGCUAUCCAGGUAGAAGUAGUGAAAUCCCUCAAUGAUUCAGAUGGACCUCAGUGGAAGCAUUCUCUAUUUGGAAAUCCAAGUGAACCUGAAACUUUUAGGAGAAGGUGCUUAAUCGAUGAUGCACUUGCUGAAAAGCAUUUUGACUUGGCUUUCCAAGUUAUUUAUGAAUUUAACCUCCCAGCUGUUGACAUCUAUGCUGGUGUGGCAGCAUCCCUUGCAGAGAGAAAAAAGGGCGGUCAAUUAACAGAGCUCUUGAAGAAUAUAAAGGGCACAAUAGAUGAAGAUGAUUUGGACCAGGUUCUUGGAGCUGCCAUCAACGUAUAUGCUAACAAGCACAAAGAACGGCCUGAUCGGCUCAUAGACAUGCUAAUUAGCAGUCACAGGAAAGUUUUAGCUUGCGUUGUUUGUGGCCGUCUAAAGAGUGCUUUCCAGAUAGCUUCCCGAAGUGGAAGUGUUGCUGACGUUGAAUAUGUUGCACAUCAGGCAUCAGUUGCAAAUGCACUGCCCGUGGUUGACAUGUGCAGACAGUGGUUGUCAAAGUACAAAUUUGGCGUCUAGCUCCUGGAAGUAAACACAAGGAUGUCAUUAACUUGGUGGAAAAGAUGGUUGCAUGAUCGACAAAUGUUAAGGAAACAAGAAGUUAUUGAAGCACCAUAAUAAAGGUUGUAAAUUCUUGUAAGACAUGAAUAGCUGUUAUAAUGGGUUGGCUGCUAUUAAGGAGCGACUGUUUCAAGCCAAACAAGGUGGAAUUCACCCGAUUGAAAUGGAGGCAGAAGUGAUAAGCUGAAGCUUCCUUUGAGGAUGCACGAGUUACUGAUAUCCAAAACUUAGGAUGUACAAAUUACUUUGGUAAUAUAUUAUCUUUUCUUAAGACAGGUGUUUCGCUAAAAAUUAUGUGACACUCAAUCCAUAGCUUUGAAA